UACGGAGGGUGCAAGCGUUGUUCGGAAUCACUGGGCGUAAAGCGCGUGUAGGCGGCUAUCUAAGUCUGAUGUGAAAGCCCUGGGCUCAACUCAGGAAGUGCAUUGGAUACUGGAUAGCUGGAGUACCGGAGAGGAAGGUGGAAUGCUUGGUGUAGAGGUGAAAUUCGUAGAUAUCAAGCAGAACACCUGCGGCGAAGGCGGCCUUCUGGACGAUGACUGACGCUGAGACGCGAAAGCGUGGGGAGCAAACAGG
rnacentral:rRNA from 1 species